rnacentral:lncRNA from 1 species
UUGGUUCAUCUCUUGGAACCUUUGAUCUAGGAGAUCCUCUCGACUACGAGUCUCGAGGGUCUUUUGACAGAACGGAGGUAGGGACCCUUCGGGGGUGGAAUCGUGAUCAGACAGAGGGCUUUCCACCCUCUGCUUUCCCUUUUCGGAGAAGAUAGGGCGAUUGGCCCAAGUGGGCCACCCGAUCGUCGGAUUCUAAAACUCUGAUGAUGCUCUUUCCAGCCGCACAGAUGCCUGCGGCUGCUGCUGCAUGGUCUGCACUGCUUCGGUGAGGCCCCUGACUUGCUGAACCAGCUGGUCGAACUGCUUCAUACCGACUGCCGUUGUCGGAGGAGGAAGAGCCUGGAAAACUGGAGA